rnacentral:rRNA from 1 species
AUACGGAGGGUGCGAGCGUUGUUCGGAAUUACUGGGCGUAAAGGGCGCGCAGGCGGCUUGAUAAGUCAGAUGUGAAAGCCCACGGCUCAACCGUGGAAGUGCAUCUGAAACUGUCUGGCUUGAGUACUGGAGAGGAAAGUGGAAUUCCUGGAGUAGAGGUGAAAUUCGUAGAUAUCAGGAGGAACACCGGUGGCGAAGGCGACUUUCUGGACAGAUACUGACGCUGAGGCGCGAAAGCGUGGGGAGCAAACAGGAGUAGAAACCCCAGUAGUCC